rnacentral:miRNA from 14 species
GGCCCUGGCCCGGGUCCUGGCCCUGGUCCUGGCCCUGGCCCUGGUCCUGGCCCUGGACCCGGCCCUGGCCCUGGCC